rnacentral:sRNA from 1 species
AUGAAAAAAUGUUUAAUAUAUAUAGUUCCGAUUGCAUUAAGGUCAGAUAAGCAACGCUGGCGUUGUAAUUUAGGUUGGAAAUAAACGCGUUUUAAAAAAUAAUCCGGGUCAUGUUCUGAUCCGGGUUAUAUAUAUCCACGUUAAUCUUUUUUGCUUAGAUUUUUUAAUUAUCCAAUGAUUUAAAUAAUUACUUUUUUUUGGCGUUAUGCUAAGUUACGUGACCUGUUAUUUAGGUAAUUUCAGUUUUGCCGGUCGGUGUUUUUUUAACGAGUGUCGUUAGGAGGGGUGUGACCCCACCUGGCCUCCCUGGUACCGGCCCAACUCUUUGGUUGUAACAUUUAGGAAUGGUCACAAUUGAAAAGUGAAAUCGAUCCGUUCGGAUCAGGGCCGGAUUGGAACGUGGGUCCGGAACCAGGGGUCUUAAAUUACACCCACGUUAUUUUUGUUAAAGAGCUGCCUAUAGUUUUUAAAGGGUAUGUGUAUAUAUUGAAAAUUAUUUUCGAUAUUGGACAGCAAAGACAGAAAUUAUUAACCGAGAUAAUUUUGCUUACUGUUGUCCAGCAGCGGCCGCCGUAGCUUCGGCAAGCAAUUUGGCGUAUAGAACAGGCAUUUGCCUAUUAACGGCCUGCUUAGCAAACUCCGCCGGGCUCGUGGUUGCUAUUUCGGGAUAUAGUUUUUUACCGUCCAGGUAGCCCAGAUAUUCGGUAUAUUUUGGCCUGUUUUCUUUUCAAAUAAAUAUAAUAUUCCAAUAUUAAUAUUUAACCCAGUCGAAAUAUAUGUACGAAAUUGGGUGUUGCGGUAAUGCAAAUCCUCGUAUUAUUUUAUCGGUAACCUUUUCUUUGGAAAUUUGGGGGUAAAACGUUAAUAUAAUAGUUUGAAAAACCAGCCCUGGUUGCAUUAGUUCGAACCCAUAUAUUAUUUAGCUAUUUUUUUUCCGUUGGCCUGUUUAAUUGCGUCGUAAAUCUGGUUGGUAAUACUGAUGGAAUUGUAGAUAAAAACCCUUUUGUUUAACGUACGAGGGUCCGUAAUAAUUCGGGCGACCCAUUUCCCUAUAUUUUUCAAAUCGGAAUAUGCAGAAGGAACGUUUCCAUUUCCGGUAAUUUGGUUAAAAAUUGCAGGUGAGAUGUAAUUGGUCCGUUUCGAGGGCAAAUGGGGGAAUGCGAGCUGGUACCAGUACCCAAUAUUAACGACGGUGUAGGGAAUAUGGGCCGCCUUAACGUAGUUUAGGAUUUCUUUUUUUUAUUUGCACAAUAAAUAAAACCGUUAAUAACCUUUCCAUAUUAUCGUAUUUUUACCUGGUUUGCCAAGGCAAACAUACCGACAGGAGCUUGAACCAGGCCAAAGUUGCAUGGUAAAAAACGCUUUACCCCCGCAGUUUUAAUAUAAUUAAUAAGCGUACGUUGCUAAGCGAUAUUGGUUGCAUUUAUGGCCGAAAUAAUAAUAUCGAAUCCCUCCAAAGUUUUGACCAGGUCCGAUUGCGGCCCAGCCAAAUUAACAGGUACGGUUUUGGCGCCUUUGCUAAUUAAAUCGAGCAGUUUAAUAUCCUUUAGCGAAGAAGCCCGGACGAGCGCAGUGAUAUUUUAAAGCCGGUUUGGUUAAUUAAGGUCCGUUUCCUGCGUUAGGCGUAUGUAAAGCAACCGUUUUACAAACUCGUUUGCCGAAUUUAUAAGGGUAUUGGCAAUGGAUUUCCCGGUUUAACCGGUCGUUCCGAGGAUAGCAAUUUUUAUUUUUAAUGGUUUGGAAAGGUGUUUAAUAUAUAUUUGUCGAUUGUUUUUGGUUAUUUAUUUCGGGAUAAAGCGGGUUUAUGCGAAAUUUUUAUACCUUAUUUUUGUUACGGCCAGGGUAAAUAUACCAAAAAAGCUAAUUUAUUGUUAGCAAUCGACCAAAAUUUUACCGCAAAAAAGGAAACGAAAUAAAUAAAAUUCCGAUUUUGACGCGACGUGGAUAAACGCAUUACUUUUGUGGGUUAUUGUUCGUUGGUCGGGGUUAGGGUUAGGGUUUGGUAAUCUUAGGGUCCGAAUAUUUCGUUUUAAUUUUCGGGUUUUUUCUAAAAUCCGCAACGGGUUUUUUCCACAUGUCGAAAUAAUAUUAAUUUCAACGCCCAUUCGGAAAUUGCAAAUUAAUUUUUGUUACGGAAUCUCGGAGCAAAAAAUCGCCCCUUUUGUUUUUCAAAAGUUUCCGAAUUUUUAACCAAACGUUGAAAAAAUAAUUAAAGGCGGAGGUUAAAACAAGUCCAGAAACCCGACAAUAUCCGUGCAAAUUAUGCCGGGGAGUACCAGCAGACCAAUCGGAAUGUACCACCGUGAACAAAAUCCCGGCCCCAUAAUACCAUUGUUAUUAAAUAAAGUUAAAGAUUUUAGUCCCUGCCAAAUAUAUAGCCGGGCCCCAAAUUAUUUUGCGCCAUCCAUUUAAUUUAAUAAUAGCCAAGCAGCGUUUCCCUUCCUAGCCCACCUCCCAAAUGCCUCCUGGUCCAGCACGUGCCGAAUAAUUGACUUAUUACAUUAUUUAUAUUAAUGUUGGUAAAAUUUAUUAUUUCCUUUAGAACGAAUAAGUAAUAUUGGAAUGAAACAAAUAUUGAGAAAUUCCAAUAGAAUUUAAUAGCAAUUAAAUUUAUUAAAUGGCAUUUAAGGGUUUUUUUAAAGACGGCUGUUUAGCAAUUAAAUAAGGGAAAGAUUUUAUUACGAAAACGAUCCCAGAAAAACAAGGGUGUAAUAUAAGGGCGAUUUUAUUCGAAAAUUUAAAGCUAAAUGUAAAAUAAGAAAGGUACGUAAUACCAAUCGCGUACACGCGCCUAAACGAAUAAUAAUAAACGAUCCCUGGCGCCUUAUUACGUAGGGUGGAGCUAAUUAGAUUAGCAGUCGCCCAGGCACGCCAUUCCGUAACAAUAUCGAUUUUAUUAAUAAUAUGAAAAUCUCCCUGCAUAUGGAAGUUUUGCGACUAGCGGGGAUUCGGAGCCCAUCGGUCUUCCGCGUUUCAUUCCCCCCGCUCGACCGAAAAAUAUAAAAUAAUGUAUAAAUAUGCUAUUAUUAACCAGCCCUGUGGUAUUAAUUUCGAAAUAUCACCAAAUAAAAAGGCAAGUUUUAAAGUCCAGCAAAAAUAGAAAUUGUUAAAUAAUGUCAGCGAACGAGGCGAACGUCGCCGCCGCAUAACCAAUUAAUUUUAACGUGUCCCAUUUUUAACCAUUAUUUAGAGUUUUAACUAAUAAAUAAUACAAACGCCUAUAUUUACGGAAAGUUGGUUUUUUAACUUUAUAAUUACUAAUUAAAUUUGGUGAGAUUGGUAAUAGUGGCCUUUGCGGGCUAUAUUACAGCAAAACAAAGGGAGAAAAAGAAAAACAAUCUGUUUCGCAAAUUAUUACCCUUUGUUUUUGUCGCAGACCCAAAUAUCGUUCAUUAGCCAGCUAAUUAAUGUCAACGGUGUUUUUAUACGACGACCGGGGGACAUGAUUAUUUUCAAAGGAUUUUGGGCAAUUAUUCGCGCGUAUGGGGAACAAAAUUUAAUUGCUGAUUGGAUAGAUGUUAUAAGAUGUUAUAAAUUUGUCAAAAAUGCGGGGUUACCUAAAUUUAAAUUAACCCCGUAUAUUUAUAAUUUUAGCCUAGCUGGUUUGGACCAGGUAUUAUCCGCACCACCCAAAAUCCUUAAUGCGGGUACGAGCAUAUAUAUAUAUAUAAGGCAAUUUAAAUAUUUUAGAAUUCCAUUACAAAUUACUCCAAAUAUUAUUUUAAACCAUCCAUCCUGCAUUAAUUAUAUUUAUAUUAGACCCAAUUUAUAUAAUAA